CGAGCGGGCUUUCUGUUCAUUCACUUCUUAUCAUUGUUCUUUCUUUCGUCCAUCGCUCUUUAUACCCGAUUACAAUGGCUUGGGGGAAGAAGCAGUAGCCAAACACAAAAAAUGGGGGGUGUCAUUGACCAGGAGGGCGAUCUGGAGAGUGGAAGAGCUAGCGAACCACGCCACUUGGCGGAAAAUACACUGUUCUGCCAAAAUAAAGAAGAAGAAUAAAUCCCACAUCUUGUACGAAAUUACCCCAACUGGGGAGAGACGGAUUCAGAGAGAGAGAGUGUGAGCGAGAAAGAAGAACGACGCGCAGAGCAGCCAAAGGACGACCUUCAAAUAAUGUUGAAUUUUGUACGCAAACGACCUUGCAUACAACAACAGCAACGGAACGACGAAGCAGACCAC